AGGAAGUGAUGAUGGGCUGUACAACUUCAAGCCCAUCCCCAGGAGCGUCCCACUUUCUCUGGUGAGCUCCACCUCCCAAGGGUUCCAUAACCUCCAAAAAAAAGUGUCUGCAGCUGGAGAGCAAGUGCUGCAACACGCAAUGCUGCAAGGAUGAGGAUGAGGACGAGGACGCUUCACCUUCAACCUUCUCUCUACAGCACCCAGGGCUUCCUGGAGGAGGGACUGUCUCCUGUGGUGGGUCGUGUUUUCUUAAAGGAAUAGCAUGCAUUAUUUCCAUGCCAUGGACUCUCUUUAAGACUUGCCACACCCACUCCUGGUGAUGAAGUCUGUGUGCCUUCCCUUGAACAUGAGCAGGUCCUGGUGGUAACUGUGCUCAGUAAAAUGAGAAAUAAAGAAGGCUGUAGGACUUUCAAGUUAGGUGAAGAAAAAAAACUAUAGACUCUCUUGAUUUCUGUCUUCCUAGAUGGCUGUUCUAGGAACAUAGUUGCCAUGUUGGGAGGAAAUCUAAAAACAGAGAGAUUGUGCAGGUGUCCCAGUUCACAGGCCCAGCUUGUGGCAAAAUUGACCCCUUCGAAUGCGUAGUUGAGAAAACAUUCAAGAAGACUCCAGGCCCAGAGUCUGACUACAAUGAGACCCUGAAGAAAAACCACCCAGCUGAGCCCAGCCAAGCCUAGAAUCAUGGGGCACGGUCAAAGACAUUGUCACUAUUUGAAGUCACCACGUUUGGGGCAUUCGUUAUACAUCACGGUAUGAGUCUUAGUUUAUAAUGAAGGUUAACCAGGUAGUAGAUAAAUCAAGUUCUAGAUAACAAGGAUGCUACAUACAAAGAAAACUUGCAUGAAAUAGAUCCCUCUGACAUAGAUUGAAGGAAGUUGCAAGGUCUGCAAGAUUAAACAAUACAGAGGCAGGUUCCAUGCUAAAUCAGGGAGUUAUGGAGGGUUUCAAGCAAGGGAAAGACCUCCAGGACUUAGUAAGAAGCCGCAAUAUGGACAAUGGGAUGAAGGAAGUAGAGACUAUUUAUGACCAUCUAUACCAGUGCCAACGUCUUGGGCAAUGAGCAGAUCGGAGGUUAUUCCAUGAGCCUACUCAGGAGAAGGCAGUGCUGGGGUAGUGGGAUUAUGAGUCCUGUGGUAUUUCAAACACACGGUCAGUUCUGUGGCUGGAUGAAUACACGAGGUAAAGAGAAGAGGGGAAGUCUCUUGGGCUUCUGAAUUGCAAGGCGUUGUAGUUUCAUUUGCAUUGCUGUGGUAAAACACCCCCAAAAAGUAGCUUUAAGGAAGGGUGUGUUUAGUUUACAAUUCCAGGUCACAGACCAUCACUGCAGGACCUCAAAGCAGGAACUUGAAAUAACUGGUCACAUUCAUGGUUAAGAGCAGAGAGAGAAGGAAUGCAUAUGUGCCUGUAUGUGCUCAGCUCUCUCUCCCUGGAUGCAGUCUGAGAUGCCCUGCCUAAGGGAUGGAGCCAUCCACAGUGGACUGGACCUUCCCACAUCAGUGAACACAACCAAGACAACUCCGCCACAGACAUGUGCACCAGUCAAUCUGAUUUUGGCAGCCACUCCAUUGAGACUCUCUUCCUAGGUACUGAGGAUUCCGGACUCAGGUCCUCAUGCUGUGCUGCAAGAAUUUACCCACUGAGCCAUCAUCUCAGCCCUCCCCUGGAGAGAACAUCAAAAGUAUCAAUUCCAUUGUAUCCAAUCCCAACCAAAGCCCACUCUCUGGGGAGCAGAGUGUGGCUCAGGCACCUACAGUCUGAAACCUUCCCUAGGCAAUCCACAGCAGGGGCUGCUGCUGGCACUCACCCAACGCUGGUGAUAACUCACUCGACCACAACAAUUUAAACAUGCGUCUCUCCGC
ensembl:lincRNA Gm11690 predicted gene 11690